AGAAGAAGAAAUUUGAGAGAGAAGUAAAACCCUAGUUUUGCUUUCAAUUACAAAGCCCCAAAUCACCACCACCGGUGCUCGCCGGCCAGUUUUCCGGUGUUGCAUCUACUUGCGCAAAUUCUGCCUGUUGUGUUGUGUUGCUUCACGGAAUCUCAAAAGAUGACAAAGGGAGCGGCAAUGUCGUCUUCUGCUGUGUCGGUUCGUGAUAACGUGAUCAAUUUGGAAGCUUGUGAAAGAUCAAUCCGUUCAGAAGGUGAAUCUCUCAAUAAGUUGGAUGAUGAUACACUCGUUCAAAUUCUUUGCGGUUUACCCCUUAAAGAUGCGGCAAGAACGAGUGUCCUUUCACGUAGAUGGAGGCACUUAUGGCGCCGUUCACUCAUGUAUCCGUUGAAUAAUAUGUAAAUUUCCAUCAAGAACCGAAUGCUAGUACUGUGACCCGUAAAUGAAUCUUGAGAUGAUGUCUAUAAAACAGAUGUUGUGAAGAUAAUAGAGAAAGCAGAGGAAGAUAGCAAAGUUACCUUUAGGUGAUUUACAUGAAAAUGUUCAUAGCUAAAAUAUUUUAGGUACUUUUUGUUAUUCUUUGGUUCAUACCAAAGAUGUUCUUUUUUUCUUUUCUUCACUAAGUUAAUGUGACAUUUGGUUUAU